AGACCCGAAACCCGGUGAUCUAGCCAUGGGCAGGUUGAAGGUUGGGUAACACUAACUGGAGGACCGAACCGACUAAUGUUGAAAAAUUAGCGGAUGACCUGUGGCUGGGGGUGAAAGGCCAAUCAAACCGGGAGAUAGCUGGUUCUCCCCGAAAGCUAUUUAGGUAGCGCCUCGUGAAUUCAUCUCCGGGGGUAGAGCACUGUUUCGGCUAGGGGGCCAUCCCGGCUUACCAACCCGAUGCAAACUGCGAAUACCGGAGAAUGUUAUCACGGGAGACACACGGCGGGUGCUAACGUCCGUCGUGAAGAGGGAAACAACCCAGACCGCCAGCUAAGGUCCCAAAGUCAUGGUUAAGUGGGAAACGAUGUGGGAAGGCCCAGACAGCCAGGAUGUUGGCUUAGAAGCAGCCAUCAUUUAAAGAAAGCGUAAUAGCUCACUGGUCGAGUCGGCCUGCGCGGAAGAUGUAACGGGGCUAAACCAUGCACCGAAGCUGCGGCAGCGACACUGUGUGUUGUUGGGUAGGGGAGCGUUCUGUAAGCCUGUGAAGGUGUGUCGUGAGGCAUGCU
rnacentral:rRNA from 4 species